ACGCACGCUGGCGGCGUGCUUAACACCUGCACGUCGAACGGAAAGGCCCCUUUGGGGGUCCUCGAGUGGCGAACGGGUGAGUAACACGUGAGUAACCUGCCCUUGACUUCGGGAUAACUUCAGGAAACUGGGGCUAAUACCGGAUAGGAAUCCUUGCUGCAUGGUGGGGGUUGGAAAGCUUCGGCGGUUUUGGAUGGACUCGCGGCUUAUCAGCUUGUUGGUGGGGUAGUGGCUUACCAAGGCUUUGACGGGUAGCCGGCCUGAGAGGGCGACCGGCCACAUUGGGACUGAGAUACGGCCCAGACUCCUACGGGAGGCAGCAGUGGGGAAUAUUGCACAAUGGGCGGAAGCCUGAUGCAGCAACGCCGCGUGCGGGAUGACGGCCUUCGGGUUGUAAACCGCUUUCAGCAGGGGCGAAGCUUGUGGUGACGGUACCUGCAGAAGAAGCACCGGCUAACUACGUG
rnacentral:rRNA from 1 species